rnacentral:lncRNA from 1 species
GAAAAAUUGUGGUCUUUGAACUAAGAAUGAAAAAAGGCUGAAUGCAAGCCACAAGGCCCAGGAUGACAUAAUCUGGAGAGUGCCUUUCUCACAAGGGCAUAAAGCAUUUUGUGGCUGGUUUGAGGGCACUACUUCUAGGAAAGGGAAGGUUUGUGGAUCUUUCAGUCUUUCGAUGGAGGCACUGGAUCUUCUCUGUGAAUCCGAG